rnacentral:rRNA from 1 species
UACGUAGGGGGCUAGCGUUGUCCGGAAUCAUUGGGCGUAAAGAGCGUGUAGGCGGCCCGGUAAGUCCGCUGUGAAAGUCGGGGGCUCAACCCUCGAAUGCCGGUGGAUACUGUCGGGCUAGAGUGCGGAAGAGGCGAGUGGAAUUCCUGGUGUAGCGGUGAAAUGCGCAGAUAUCAGGAGGAACACCGAUGGCGAAGGCGGUUCUCCGGGCCUUACCUGACGCUGAGGAGCGAAAGCGUGGGGAGCGAACAGG